UAUUCGGUGAUCAGCACUGAACACAGAGAACUUACCAUGGCAUUUGGGCUGACAUGGGUUUUCCUUGUUGCUGUUUUAAAAGGUGUCCAGUGUGAGGUGCAGCUGGUGGAGUCUGGGGGAGGCUUGGUCCAGCCUGGGGAGUCCCUGAGACUCUCCUGUGCAGCCUCUGGAUUCACCUUCAGUGACUACUACAUGGACUGGGUCUGCCAGGCUCAGGGAAGGGGCUGGAGUGGGUUGGCCACUCAAACUUUGUUUUUAAACAAAGCUAACAGUUACACGACAGAAUACGCUGCGUCUGUGAAAGGCAGAUUCACCAUCUCAAGAGAUGAUUCAGAGAAUACACUGUAUCUGCAAACGAGCAGCAUGAACACCGAGGACACGGCCGUGUAUUACUGUGCUAGAGACACAGUGAGGCGAGGUCAGUGUGAGCCCAGAUGCAAACCCCCCUGCAGGGGCGCGCGGGGCCUCCAGGGGGCGCUCGGGACCCACUGA